rnacentral:rRNA from 1 species
UGCGUAGGCGGGCUAAUAAGUCAGUGGUGAAAUCUCUCGGCUCAACCGGGAAACUGCCAUUGAUACUGUUAGUCUUGAGUUUGGUUGAGGUAGGCGGAAUGUGUAAUGUAGCGGUGAAAUGCUUAGAUAUUACACAGAACACCAAUUGCGUAGGCAGCUUACUAGACCGACACUGACGCUGAGGCACGAAAGCGUGGGGAGCGAACAGGAUUAGAUACCCUGGUAGUCC